rnacentral:lncRNA from 1 species
UUUCCUCUGACCAAGCUCACCCAAACCCUAAAUCGGCUUUUUACAAUCAAAAUUCUUCAAUGUUCUUCUCUUUUAUAUAUCGAAAGUUUCUUUAGGUUUGGAUUUCUCUAUAUCAGAACAAAAAGAGAAGCUGGUUUCGUUCAGAGAAGGUUUGUUGGUUCCGUCUCCCUUUCCCCCUUUGAAUCUGCGUUUGGGAUUAGGGUUUCGUGGUCUGGGUUUGUAAUGACCUUAUUCUUCAAAUUCGUUCCGUCUGUGGAAGUCAAAACUUAACACAAUCGAGAUUUAUCUAGGGUUUUACUUAGGGAUACGAUUUACAAGAAUUCUCAAAGAACGACAGAAAGAAUUGUAACCAAAGAUGGUGUUCUUGAUAUUAUUGACGAAAAGAAUAGCUUUGAUCGUACAGAGAACUAGAUCGUAAAAGAAAAGUGUUUGUUUGCUUUAGAGCUUUGUGUUGUCUAGAUUCUUGAGCGUUAUUGCUUCUUUUUUCUGUGAGAGCCUUGAGUCUCCUUAUAUAGGGAUGGUAAACCGCCUCUCCAGCGAUAUUCUCGGAAGAUUUCCAUUUAUCUUGGAGUCGGCCUAGAAUAUCG